rnacentral:rRNA from 1 species
UACGUAGGGGGCUAGCGUUGUCCGGAAUCAUUGGGCGUAAAGCGCACGUAGGCGGAUUUGUAAGUCAGGGGUGAAAUCCCGGGGCUCAACCUCGGAACUGCCUUUGAUACUGCAAAUCUCGAGUCCGGAAGAGGCGAGUGGAAUUCCUGGUGUAGCGGUGAAAUGCGCAGAUAUCAGGAGGAACACCAAUGGCGAAGGCAGCUCGCUGGGACGGUACUGACGCUGAGACGCGAAAGCGUGGGGAGCAAACAGG